AAAGGGAAGAGAGCUUCUACAGGUCUCAAUUAAAUAGAGCUGGAGGUGAAGAGCGAGAAAGAGAAGUAAGUUGGGUAAAUACACCCUGUACUGCUAAGCUACUCUGUGUGUGUGUGUGAGAGAGAGAGAUAGUCCGCGAGGCAGCUUCUCCAUUCUGUCUAUAAUCCGGUUGCAGUUGAUCUAAUAGUCUCUACGAACUAGCUCAGCGUUAAACAAGACGGACAGAAGAACGGACGGAUAGACGAACAUGACUAUGAUCGGCUAUUGAUGCUCAUCAAGCAUACAUAUGUAUAUUUGUGAAUAUACUUUAUAGGGUCGGCCAUAUAGCUAUAAGAGAAUCCAAAUACUCAACAAAGGUGACACUUGACGUCAUCCAGACUGAACAAGCCAAUCGCGCCGACGGCCUAUGUACAUAUCUCCCCUUCAGAGCGGGCACGACAACGACAUUGUGCCAAGCAAUGCACUGGAAAGCUUUGCCGGCUCGACUGUAUUCUGUCCGUCCAUCGUAUAUAGGGUGUAUGCACGACUCAUGAAUUGGCAUUUGGUGGAGGGUUACCCAGCCGACACUAUUUCAGGGCAAAGGGGCACUAUGCACUACCCGACAACGGGGUACCCGACUCCGUCAGUUCGUCAAUCGAUAAUCAGCAACAGCUGGCUUCCGUCCGGGUGGUGGAGCGAAGGGGCGACUGGAAGCGAUGUAAGUGCAAUGAUCACGUUCGUUUCGGCUCUGUUCGGUUCGGAUCGAUUCGAUUGGCGCCAGCGUCUUGAACGCUAUUCCUUGGCUACCACUUUUGAUUACAUAAAGUUCUCUCUCCCUCCCCUCUGUGCGACCGUCCGGCUACCCCUUCGAUGAGUAAUUUAUACGGAAAUGUGAGAGCAUUGAGUUCGAUUAGCAAUGGCUACUACAUUGUUGCGUUCACCCCGCUCGCUGAUGUAAUUUACUUUAGAACGCAAUUGCAAAACAAGUUCGCAAACUACGAGUGCACACACACAGAGCGCGCACCGAGGUGCACGAGUAAUGUAAACAAAAUCAUAACCUACAGUUAAGUUCAUAUUUCGGUCCGGAAGGCUGCCUAACUUUUAGACAAUACUCGUACAAAAUCGCCAUCAUCUGACAGCCAUGCUAAAAUACGAGUAGUCCUUACGAUGGGCACUGUUCUACUCGGUACUCUACAUAUUAGAUUUAUAGGGAUAUCACAGGAUUCCUGCUGCGCUAACUCUAACUCAUCAAGACGCACGGACAGACAGACAUGUCUACAUCUACUCGACUUUGGAAAGCGAUAAUGGUUUUGGCCUUUACAUAUACAUAUUUACACGCAUUGAAUACACCCCUAUGCUCUUUGAGUGCCGCAUAUAAAUAUACUUUUGUGUUAGGUGUGGAAGAACAUGCAGUGUACGGUGAAUGUGUGUACAAAUUUCGACUCCUCUGUUGAUGUACAGGUAUUCUCGUUAGGAAUAGGUAUAUGUAUGUAUAUAUAUACCCAGCAAACCAAACUCUCGCAAAUGAUAUCCCACACGAGUCAAAUGCGAGACUUAACACUACAAAACGCUCGCGUUUGGAUCCUAAAAUGAUACGAAUAUAAUACUUGUGUCGUUCAUUUUGUGGCAGCGAAAGCAUCAUUUAUGUUAAGCACUUAAACGCUUAUAUCUGCGUAUUACAUAUACAUACAUAUGUAUUUAGUACAUACAAGUGAAGGAGUAGCGUACUCCAAGAGUAGCAGGUGCCAAACACAAUAACUCGUACUAAUUGAUAAUCCUGAGAAUCGGUGCCAAAGAGAACCAAUUGCAAUCCACUGAAGUAAGAGUACUCCGUGCUAUUUUGGGGGUGAAUUUUAGCAGCAGCGUCUCAAAAGGGGGGGAACUUGAGCUAAAAUAAUGAGGGGCGGCACUCAAAGUCUUUAAGAAGUUAUCGGUAGAUAAUUUGUAAGACUCGACGAGGGUCGGCUACAAGAACUAUUCACGUGCAAGGGCAGAACGCGCACCAACCAAGUAAAUGCAACAAAAAUAGAUUGCGGUCCUCUAGCAAGUGAAGCUUGCACUCGAAUGAAGUGCGAUUUGCCAAUUGGGAUGGAAUCAAAGCUAAAGCAAUGGGGAUGUUAAAAUGUUUCAAGGGAGCUCCGAAAAUGCACAGCAAUACAUUUGGUAGAAGUGAACUUUGUCGUAUUUUAACAUGUUUUCACAUUAAAGUUAAUCAAAUAAUCAGAAAGGCUCCUGUUUCCGCUUACUUUUUAGUCUUGCGUUUUCAGCCAAAACGUCUCGUUUUCGGUUUUAGGUGCUCCCGUUCUCACAAAUUUUGGCAUCGAUAUGUUUAAUUUCCUCAUUGAUUCUGGCAAACAAAAACAGCUGAUCUGGUUUCUUCGAAAAUAUACAGCGUGAUAGAAAUGGGGUUUUUUUUAAAAUGCUUGUUUUGAAGCAAAACGACGGCAGAAAGUGCACGAGCUAAGAAGAUCAAGGCAUCUUAGAUGCAAAACCUGUGUUUUCAACAAGUCUGACGAACUGUGAGCAACAGCAUGCACAUUGAAAAUUAAAUUGCUAAUGGUCAAAAAAUGAAUUUGUUGCACCUACAUCUUGAAAUAUAUGCGGAGCGUAACAGCUGUCUUUUCCCAGAUGUUCUGUUAUGCGCAUGGUACGAGCACAGUCUGAACUGUUACGCGCACAUUUGUACUGUUAUGCGCGAAAAUUGUCCUAUAAGUUACGGCAAAUUGUUGUUGUCCUGACCAAAUAUUUCCCACUUUAAAGUUUUGGGUUAAAAAAAAAAUAGAAUAUAUGUAUAUAUAAAUAUAAUAUAUAAAAUGUUUCGUUUUCAAAACAGAAGAAGCUUGCGUUUUGCGAAAACGGGACCACCACUUUACAUAUGUGUUUUCAAAAGUAAAUAAAAAAAGGUUGUGAAAGUGAAAACCGGAGCCUGCCUGUAUAUGUAAAAUGGUUAAGUAAAUUAAGUUUUAAUCAAUUUAGAAAAUAAUAUCUGCUAAAAGUAUAUGGAAUUUUAAUCUUAUGAUCUUUUAUAUAUUUAUAUAUUCUACAUUUUUCUAUACCGCAUCUCAUCGCUCUGUUUCCAUGAACGAAUUACCAUCCGGUCGUUUUAUCUUGCUCACUCUGACAGGGAGGGCACACUAGACGAGGAAGGGUGUGAGAGAGAGAAAGCGACCGUGU